rnacentral:rRNA from 1 species
AGAGUUUGAUCAUGGCUCAGGAUGAACGCUGGCGGCGUGCCUAACACAUGCAAGUCGAGCGAGAAGCUUAUGAAGGAACCUUCGGGUGACGGAAUAAGUGGAAAGCGGCGGACGGGUGAGUAACGCGUGGGUAACCUGCCCCAUACAAAGGGAUAGCCACUGGAAACGGUGAUUAAUACCAUAUAACAUCAUAGUGUCGCAUGACACAUUGAUCAAAGAUUUAUCGGUAUGGGAUGGACCCGCGUCUGAUUAGCUAGUUGGUAAGGUAAUGGCUUACCAAGGCGACGGUCAGUAGCCGACCUGAGAGGGUGAUCGGCCACACUGGAACUGAGACACGGUCCAGACUCCUACGGGAGGCAGCAGUGGGGAAUAUUGCACAAUGGGCGCAAGCCUGAUGCAGCAACGCCGCGUGAGCGAUGAAGGCCUUCGGGUCGUAAAGCUCUGUCCUCAAGGAAGAAUAAAUGACGGUACUUGAGGAGGAAGCCCCGGCUAACUACGUGCCAGCAGCCGCGGUAAUACGUAGGGGGCAAGCGUUAUCCGGAAUCACUGGGCGUAAAGGGUGCGUAGGUGGUCUGACAAGUCAGAAGUGAAAGGCAUUGGCUCAACCAAUGUAAGCUUUUGAAACUGUCAGACUUGAGUGCAGGAGAGGAAAGUGGAAUUCCUAGUGUAGAGGUGAAAUUCGUAGAUAUUAGGAGGAACA